AUCUUGUACAUUUCAUUUUGAAGUUUUCAAUUGUAUUUGUACUUUUGCUUUCAGAUCUCUGGACCUCUCCUGGAUGAAAGCCAGGUCAAGAGCAUUGUGGAUGAGAUAAAACAGGUGAUCACAGCCAGCUCAAGUAGAAAGGGAGAAAGAGCAGAGAGGGCCAAAGCUGAGGACUUCGAUGCUGAGGAGGGGGAAAUACUAAGAGAGGAAAAUGAGCAAGAGGAAGAAGUUUUUGAUCAAGUAGGGGAAAUCUUGGGAACUUUGAUAAAAACAUUUAAGGCCUCGUUCUUGCCCUUCUUUGAUGAGUUGUCAUCAUAUCUUACGCCUAUGUGGGGGAAGGAUAAAACAGCUGAGGAGAGAAGGAUAGCAAUUUGCAUCUUUGAUGAUGUUGCAGAGCAGUGUCACAAAGCAGCUCUGAAGUAAAUAUUCCUUUCAAAACAUUUAUGUAGAUGUACUGAUUGCUAUUGUGGCCAUUUAUCCAAUAUAAUUUUUCUACAUGUGUUGAACAGAUAUUAUGAUACAUAUCUUCCUUUCCUUUUGGAAGCUUGCAAUGACAUGAACCUAGAUGUCUGGCAGGUCUGCACAAACUACUCAAUAUUUGGUUUAAUCCCUAAGUUUCUUUGCUGUUGAUCACUUUUGAAACAUGUUUAUUUUCAGGCUGCUGUAUAUGGACUUGGCGUUUGUGCAGAAUUUGGUGGUUCUGUUUUUAAACCUCUUGUUUUAGGUACAAUCUGCUUCCACAUUUGGGGAGUUGAUUUCCUUCAUAUUUCCUUUGAGUUGAUAGUUUCUCUUUAUACCUUGUUCAGAGGCUCUUUCAACGUUAAAUGUUGUGAUAAGGGACCCUAAUGCCUUGUAACCUGAAAACAUAAUGGCAUAUGAUAAUGUUGUUUCUGCUAUGGGAAAAAUAUGUCAGUUCCAUCGUGAGAGUAUAGGUUCAGCUCAGGUAAUUCCUCUUUCUUUAUUGUUCACAAGCCUAUUCAAGCAUAAAUAAUUCUGCAAAAUGUGGAUUCUUUGAUUCUUUUGGUUCACCUUGAAACUUGAAUAUAUUGCGCAGAAUGACUUUUAGUUAUCUUAGGGUGUGUUGUGGGCUACCUUGCACCUUUUAAACUAACAAGGUCUUGACUCUUGAUAUGUGAUUUGUUAGGCAUUUAUUAAUUAGUAUGUGUAUCCUAAAUAU